CUCCAGAUGUUGCUGAACUACAACUCUGAUUCUCUGGCUAUUUCAUUCAAUAAUUAGAGUUGUAGUUCAGCAAUAUCUGGAG